AAGUACAAAACAAUCUUGAAAGCAGUCAAAGGAAAAUGAAAAAGAAACUACCAUAUGAAUGAGUGUAGAUUUCUCAUCAGGAACCAUAGCGGCCAGAAAAAAAUGUCAUAAUGUUCAGUAAGUAACAAAAGAAAAAGACCUAUCAACCCAGAAUGCUAUGUGGAGCAAAAGUAUCUUUCAGACAUAAAGGCAAAUAAAUGCAUUCUCAUUGGAAGGUAAGUCAAUACAUUCUCAUUCUUAGCAAGAAUGCUGGAAAAGAAUUAGCAAAGAUUUGAGAUAAGAAAAGUGAUACCAGAAGGAAACUUAGAACAUCGUCAAUGAAGGAACGAAAGCAGAAAUAGAAAAUGUCUGGGUAGACAUAACAGACUGUUCUUCUUCUCCUGAGUUCCUUAAGGUCUAGGGUGUCUAUACUUCCUCUGAAUUACCUGAUCCUACUACAGUGUCUGGCACAGAGCAUCUCCCCAGUGAAUAUGUACUAAAUGAGUGGAAAGUAAUUGAUAGAUUCAAAAGAGUUGUGCAAGAAUAAUGUUCAUUAUUUGGCAAAUCAUUGAAUGUGGUGUUUGAUGGAAGACAAUGAAUCAAAGUUGACUUGAAAGGAGACUACGGAAAGGAAGAAUGACUAAGAUCUCUGAAGAAGGGAAAAGCUAGAUGACUGGGCCACAAGAGGAAAAAAAGCAGCAAGACAGAGAAUAAGUACCCACUGCACUCUUGCCCUGGGCCAUCAAUGAGAAGAUCUGCUCUUAGUGGAGCCCUGCUUUCGCGGUGAAGGCCUUGAAGUCGCGUGUGUUCUAGACUGCCCACUAAGGAUGAAAAAAGAUGCUGUGAGAUGAAGAAGUAGCUCAAGUGGUGGAGUGCUCGCUUAGCAUGUGAGAGGUAGUGGGAUUGAUGCCCACAUUCUCCAGGUUUCACUAGUCGGACCUCAGGUCUCCAGGUUACAGUGGAAAAAAAUAUGUGUUAGACACUGAUCUCAGAAAACAGUAAGUUAGACACUCAUCUCAGUAGCAGCCUGGACACUUCUUUGGCUCAUUAUGUAAGGGCAGCAACAAUACGGGCUUGACUAAGAUUCUACUGGUAUGUGGUAUAGUAUAGAUCUAUCGAUGUGUAAUUAGUUUUCUGUUUCUUUGAGGAGCUGUGAUACAAAGGGACAUAUCCAGUUGCACUUAUUCUCCCUGUUUCCUCCUGCAGCUUGGUCCUAAAUGCAGCAUAAUUAUGGAAAGCGCAGGGCAGAGCCACUCAGGUAAAUACAGCCCCAGC